CAGAGCUCUGCUCUUCUUCCUUUGCUCCCCCAGCAGAGUGGUUUCCUGCAGCUCUGUCAUCUCGGGGCUGGGAGCUGCUUUGCUCACUCUCUCACACAGCAAACAGGCAGCUUGGUCUCAGCAUGCACCUGGGAUCCCUCGUCCUCACUGUCCUUCUGGGGACACUGCUGGGCACCAUGGGGCAGGUCACCGUCACCCAGCCACAAAGAGAAGUCACACUGCAGCAGGGGGACUCCUUCAAAACUACCUGCACAUACCAGAGCUCUGGCUUCGAUGGCUUGCUCUGGUACCAGCAGAAGAAAGGCCAAGCUCCCCAGCUGCUCUCGUAUCAAGCAAGAUCUGACCAGAAGGUCACUGGCCGUUUCAGGACUGUGCUGAACACCACAGGGAAAUACAGCCUCCUGCAGCUGGAGGAAGUCGAGGUCUCUGACAGUGCCUUGUACCUCUGUGCUGUGCAAGACACCGCAAGGAGGCUCCCAGAGCAGGAAGAGCAGCAGCAGCAGCAGCUGCAGAAAGUCUGUGCCCAUCACCCACAGGGGAGAUCCCACAGGGCAUCCAGCUGCCUGCCCCACGCAGGGACGGGGGCCAGCUGA